rnacentral:rRNA from 1 species
GAUGAACGCUAGCGGCAGGCCUAACACAUGCAAGUCGAACGGUAACAUAGAGAAGCUUGCUUUUCUGAUGACGAGUGGCGCACGGGUGCGUAACGCGUAUAGAACCUACCCUUUACAGGGGGAUAGCCCGGAGAAAUUCGGAUUAAUACCCCAUAGUACUAUUUAGAGGCAUCUUUAGAUGGUUAAAGAGAUUCGGUAAAGGAUGGCUAUGCGUCCUAUUAGUUCGUAGGUGAGGUAACGGCUCACCUAGACUUCGAUAGGUAGGGGCCCUGAGAGGGGGAUCCCCCACACUGGUACUGAGACACGGACCAGACUCCUACGGGAGGCAGCAGUGAGGAAUAUUGGACAAUGGUCGGGAGACUGAUCCAGCCAUGCCGCGUGCAGGAAGACUGCCCUAUGGGUUGUAAACUGCUUUUUUACGGGAAGAAUAAUACCCACGUGUGGGUAGAUGACGGUACCGUACGAAUAAGGACCGGCUAACUCCG